CCCCCACGGGUGAUCCCAGCACUUUGGGGAGGCCACAGUGGGUAUAUCAGUUGAGCCCAGGAGUCUGAGACCAGCCUGGGCAACCUGGCAAUACCCACAAAAACUACAAAAAUUAGCUGGGCAUGGUGGCACACAUCUACAGUCCCAGCUACUAAGGAGGCUGAUGUGAGAGGACUGCUUGAGCAUGCGAGUCUGCAAUGAGCUGAGAUCAUAGCACUGCACUCCAGCCUGCAUGACAGAGUGAGACCCUGUCUCAGGAAAAAAAGAAAGAAGAAAAUAGAAAAGGAAAAAGGAAAGGGGAAAGGGAAGGGAAGGGGAAAGGAAAAAGGAAAGGGGAAAGAAAAGGGGAAGGGGAAAGGACAAUGGAGAAAGGGGAAAGCAAAGGAAAAGGAAAG
rnacentral:lncRNA from 1 species